UGGGGGAUAUUGCACAAUGGGCGAAAGCCUGAUGCAGCGACGCCGCGUGGGGGAUGAAGGCCUUCGGGUUGUAAACUUCUUUUGCUCUGAACAAGGCGCACCAUGGGGUGUGUUGAGUGUAGGGGUUGAUUAGCGCCGGCUAACUACGUGCCAGCAGCCGCGGUAAUACGUAGGGCGCGAGCGUUGUCCGGAAUUAUUGGGCGUAAAGGGCUUGUAGGUGGCUGGUUGCGUCUGUCGUGAAAGCUCAUGGCUUAACUGUGGGUUUGCGGUGGGUACGGGCUGGCUUGAGUGCAGUAGGGGAGGCUGGAAUUCCUGGUGUAGCGGUGGAAUGCGCAGAUAUCUGGAGGAAUACCGGUGGCGAAGGCGGGUCUCUGGGCUGUUACUGACACUGAGGAGCGAAAGCAUGGGGAGCGAACAGG
rnacentral:rRNA from 1 species